UCAGACGAUGCGUCAUGCAUAUCAAUAAGCGGAGGAAAAGAAACUAACAAGGAUUCCCCUAGUAACGGCGAGUGAAGCGGGAAGAGCUCAAAUUUGAAAUCUUAAAGGGUUUCCCUUUACGAAUUUGUAGGUAUUUAAAGAAGUGUUUUCUGUUGAGGUUUUGGUAAAAGUUCUUUGGAAUAGGACAUCAUAGAGGGUGAGAAUCCCGUAUUUGACCUUUACUUUCAACUUUGUGAUACACUUCCAAAGAGUCGGAUUGUUUGGGAAUGCAGUCCAAAAUGGGUGGUAAAUUUCAUCUAAAGCUAAAUAUUGGCGAGAGACCGAUAGCGAACAAGUACCGUGAGGGAAAGAUGAAAAGAACUUUGAAAAGAGAGUUAAACAGUACGUGAAAUUGUCAAAAGGGAAGCGUUUGACACCAGUGUUGUUUUUCUGAAAAAUCAAUUAAAGAACUGUUUAUGCUAAGCUUGUUUAGACUUUAUCAGCUAACUGUUUAGGUUCUGAGCUUUUCUUUAAUGCACUUUUCAGUUAACAAGUCAACAUCAAUUUCUUUUGCUGUAAAAAAGCUUGAGGAAGGUGGCUUGAGAUUCGUCUUAAGUGUUUAUAGCCUCUUGCCUAUGCAGUCGGAGAGAUUGAGGUCUGCAGCGUAGAUCCUUCGGGGCUAAAUGCAUUUGUGCUAAGUUAUAGCAUUUUAUAGACAACUUGUUGACUAUGAUUUGUCUUGUAGCUUACUCGCUUAUGUUAUUUUACCUACGCUUAGGAUGUUGAGCGCAUGUCUCUCUCU
rnacentral:rRNA from 1 species